CACAAACACACACACACCCUUUUUCUAGCCUCUCAUAUAGAUAAUCCCCCCUGGUGCGUCCCUGGUAUCUUUUGAAUAGCUCUGGAGUUUCAAGAGAAAAAAUUCUUAUAAUGUAUUGCUUGCCAUUAGCAAAACACAUUUCAUGACCACCACAAAAAGGAGGGGAGGAGUGAGCAAAGGGGGCUUGAACCAAAAGACCUUUCUUUAAAAAAAAAAAAAAAAAAGUCUGCAAGUCAAAAGGUUAUUCUCCAAGUUUGUAAAUAAAAUACCAAAAGGAAGAAGGUAGCAAAGACCCACAAGUUUCACAAAAUGGUGCACUGGAAAAACAAGACAGGGCUAUUCUGGAGAGAGAGAGAGAGAGAGAGAGAGAGAGAGAGAGAGAGAGAGAGAGAGAGAGAGAGAGACUGACUAAAGGAAUCAAGAGAGAAAAACCGGAGGGGCGAAAAAAAAAAAAAGAAAAAGAGGGAGAAGAAAAUAAAAGGUAGAAAAGGCGAGAGAAGUUUCCAAAGAAAUGUGUGCUUUGCAUUCUACAAUAGGAAAAUGUAGCCAUUGCCCUCCUUCAGACGAGACAUUUCUAAUUUGUUCCGUCUGUCAGGAGGGGACUAUGAGAGGUUUGGGUGCAAAUUCAUUAUCUCUGGCGACGCAGGACGCAGUGUGGGGACUGAAAAAGACCGUGGCAAUGGAUGAACAAUGGGGCUUCAGUUCAUCAGUAACAAAAGCGGUGGGGAAAUUGGUUGGGUUUCAGAGCACGUCCUCCUCGGCAGAGGGGGCUGGACUAGACCUUGGACGGCCCCCCCAAAAACUUGCCGAGCCUCGCACACACCACUUCACUCUCCACUCAGAAGCUCAGGGAGCAAGUGCCUGGCCUUGGGGGAGGAGGGGGAGUUGGCUUUUUUUUUUCUUCUUCAUCUUUUGCGCCCUUCUCUCUCUUCCCCCCAGAAGGGAAGAUGUGGAAAAGAGCCUGUGUGUGGACUGCGGCCGCUCUGAGACUGGAUCUUGUCUUCUGGACUCCUGUCCAGCAGCAGGACUUGGGGGGCAGCACUGCCCGGCGGAGGGAGAGCAGAUGAUGCUACAAAGAAGUAUAAAGUGAAUAGACAUCCCACCAACCAAAGACCGGGGGCAGCAGCACACCAGCAAGACCGCAUCUUCUCUUCCCCAGCCUAGAAGCUGAAGCUCCUGUGAAAUUGAGGAUCUUCCCCCUCAAACACACACACACACACAAGAUAUUGCAAUCAAGCUGCCACCACUUGGUAAAAAGCUCAUGGUGCUUACCCCAAAAGGAUCAGGAGCAGAUCUUUGAAAUCAGCUGUCACUCCUAUAGAAUGGGAUGUGUUUUUUUUUGUGUUUUUUUUUUCUUCCUUCCUUCUUAACCUGCGCUGGAAAUUGCUGCUGGCUUCACACGUCUCUGUAGAGGGAGGCUGAGGAGUCUUUCGUGAGAACGAAGCAAUUUACAAUGCAAAUAGAGGCCUCGGAAGGGACGGAUGCUGCUGCUCACUCGUAUCCGCUUGCUGCACCUUAAUAGCUGGUUUUAUUUUCUGAUAUCCAUAGAUGAAUUGUUGACUGACGCUGCCGGAGAUUACUCGCUGAAAGGGAGAGAAAAAAAAAAGUUUGGAAUAAACUUUCACAGCCACAGAUCUCGUUCGGAUGUUUUAGCCGCACACACAAACAGAAACCAGGUCACAUUUACAUGCAAGGAGGAAUCUUGAGCGGCGAGUGCCCCGGAGGACGACAACUCUUCUGUGCUGCCAGAAAGAUCGGGAUCUGGAUUCUGGCCAGAGGAAGACAGAGGCGUGUGAGGGAAGCGAGUUGUUAUCUUUGGUUAUCUAGCUGUAUGAGUGUAUUGGUCUUCAUAAAGCUAGAUAACCGAAAGUAAAAACUCCUUCAAGAUCGCCGGGGAGCGUGGGAGAAUGAAAGACUACAGCCAAGAGACAGUAAAAACCAGAAAGGUCAGGAAUAUUUAUUGAAUCUAACUUUGUUUGCGGUUUUUUGUUUUCCUUCUGAGUAAAGGUGGGGUUUUAGAGGAAAUUAAGUGGCACACACAUGCAGAGAUAUGAAGGUGCCAGGUACUCUGAGGAGGGGUUGUUAAAAAGGAGAAUUGUAUAGUGCGAAUGAGGUAAGAGGCAUGUACAGUGUGUCCUACUUAAAGGCGAAAGUUUAAAUAUGAAUUAUUUUUUCUUUUCUUAGAUAGCUGCUGUAGAGGUGCCUGGUACCCAGUUAAAAAAACGAUGUCAUAUUAUAUAGACUUAGGCUGUUCUCUUGAAUUCCCUCCUCUGAAAAAUUUUAAGAUUAUGCUUGGAAACUACAUGUAUUUGGGGGUAUAUGUCAGAUGAUAUGAAAUUGGACUUUCAGAAAAGUUUAUACUGGAAGGUUCAUGAGUUAUGUCUACUGAGGACUUAGAGCUAGUAGGGAAAAUGCAAAAAAAAAAAAAAAAAAAAAAAAAAAAAAAAAAAAAAAAAAAAAAAAAAAGCCAAGGCUGAUUUUUAUUCUUCUAUUCAAAAUACAAGGACAGAUGCUUCUCUGUUCCAAGAGGGUUUCCUUGAGGAAGCUACUGAAGCAGAAAGACAUGAUGGAGACGAGAUCGCCUCCCCUCUUGUCAAAGUGUUAAAAAAUGUUCUGUCUUACUCUGCGCCUAGCAUUGGAAAUGAAAGUGACAUUUACGCCACAACCCACGUGUGCGCCUCCUCUCUUUUUGUUUAAGGAUGAUCAGGUCUAUCCAGGAAACAGCUCUGGCAUCCCAAACUGAAAUAAUUAGGACGUAUAUAGACCUGACAAAAAUGGAAAGGGGGUGGGGAAUCUGAGGGUCUGUCUUGCCUAAUUGAUUCGGCUAAACGGAAUGCAGGAGAUGUGAACGGCAGGACGCUCCGAUUCCCACGCUCGGGGGCAAGUGGUAAAGCGGGCCUGGCAGCCUAUGACAGACAGCCCUGUUGGGGGGGGGGGGGGAGGGGUAUAAAGAAAAAAAAAAAUCAAGUGCACACCAUACUCAUCUCCAUCGCUUAAAAAAGUAGAGGCAUUUCCCACCCACAGUCAUCUGCAGCCUCCCAAAUGGCAGCACCAACUGGCCUGUGGCUGCUGCAUACUGUCUGUUUCUGUUACUUUUAUAACCACUGUUCAAACUGGCCAUCAUGAAGUUUGCCUCCCUUCUUUGGCUGAGAUUUCCAAUAUUUAAGGAAAGCUUGUAGAAGGCAUUCCCAAGAAAGCUCCAUUGCUGCCUGCCCUUCAUGUCAGGUUCUCAGUCCAUACUUUUGGUCUUGGGACCCCCUCGGGGCUUUUGCUUUGGGCGAGUUGUAUUUGAAAAUAUAUCUCUCUGUAUAACAGACAUAACCAUCACUUGGUCAGAUUGUUUACUUCUUGCAUAAUAUAUCUAGAAACUUGGCUGAAUUAUGCUGGUAGACACCUUGGAAGUGAAACUAUAAAGUCACCAAGCUGUAGAAAGUUCAUCACUUGACAAUAUGAUAAAAGUUUGUUCUGGUAUAGUCUCAGCUAGAUACAUUCUAAACAGCCAUUUUUAUUUAAUCUAGACGUGACUAUGCUUAGCAGACACUUUGGUUCUCUGAAGGUCCCUAUGGUAAUAUUUUCAAAAAUGUCCUCAAUUUCCCCACAUGUCACCAAGCAAACAUUUGUAUAGAAAUGUACACAUCAAUACAAACAUUGCAGUAAGAAAAUGCCCACACUGGCCUGUUAUCUCCCACAUGGCCUACAUGACUGACAAUCCUAAAUCCCAGCUCUGCCAUAUUUCUUCAAAAGCAUUCCACUCGCCAUUGUAGCGUCAGCUCCCUUUAAGACUUCAAACUCCACUGAUUGUUUCCAUUAGAAACUCUGGGAGACUUGAGUAAGGUACAUUCUCCAUUUGGCUCUGGAACACGUGCCAAAGUUUUAUUACUGUGGUGACGGUUGAGAAGACCCUUGUUUAUUUACCUUUGAAGCACUGUUUGUGCAAACAACCUUUCAUUGUUAAGUGCCUGUAUUCCUUUCAUUUACUCCAUGUCCAGGGGUGCUAUUUACCUAGACCCAUUGUCUACUACAAUUAACAUUUACAUUACAAAGUGUGUGGUUUUCUUUCUCAAGGAGGUUCAAUUAAGGCAAUAAGAUGUUUGCUGGGGGAAACCUAUUGUUUACUGAAAGCACUCAAUGGAGUCAAAUUACUGACGCUUUUGCCUACAUCUCGGUCUUUCAUGUAAAUAUGUUAAAUAUAACAUUUAAGUAAAAUAAACAAUAUUAUGAUUCUGUGUUUGCCAUUGUCAUAUCAAACUUGCUUUGUAUCAUACUAAUGUUACAUGACUUAUCGAUCAAUAAAAAUGCAUUUCAAUGUUA